AUUUAUAGCAAAUACUAGGAAACCCUAAAUCACAAGACGACAAAGUAUUAGGGCGGUUUACGGAUAUACUCGACCCUUGUGAUCGAGUAGAGAGGUUGAAUAAAGUUGGCGCCUUGCGAUUUUCUUGCUCUGGGCAUGUUGUGAUCGAGCAUUUGGGUCGAGUAUGUGCUCGCGUUCUGCUUCAUCCUCUUCUCUUCCUUAUGCUCAAUGUCUGGUUGAGUGGGGAUCUGAGAAGACUCUGAAGCUUGUGAUCAAGAGGCUGCGUGGAGGUGGUGAUCGAGCAUCUGCUCGAGUGAUCUGAGGGAGGCUUGCUGGGGAAUGCUCGACUGACACGAUCGAGUAUGUCGACAGAGGAUGCGAUCAAGUGUUGUGGCAGGUUGUGGUCGAGCAUCUGCUUCAGUGGCCAGGAUGACGGUACUCGGCCUCGUGAUCGAGUACGUGGUCGAGUGGUGGCGUUGAAGUGGUGAUCGAGUCAUUUGGUGAAGAGCACGGUCGAGCGCUUGAGAAGCGGUGGAGCUGAUCUACUCGAUCACCGUGGUCGAGUGGUUCCUUGUUUUGUCCCUGAUCAUGCUCGACUGAGUAGGUCGAGUGUGCUGUCUGAUUUGGCUCUGCUUCUCUCAAUCUGCUCACAAGUGGCUCCGAAGCACCUGAAAACAACUCAAAUAUGCAGUAUGCAUGCAAAACUAUCCUAAACAUGUAAAGUGAUGACAAAUGAUGAAGAAUGGUAUGAAACAAUGAUGAAACGAUGCUAAAG
rnacentral:lncRNA from 1 species